CACCCAAAUUAAUAAAAAGUUUUUUUUUUUUAAAAAAUCCAAAGAAAAAAAAAAACCGCCCAGAUUACUUAUUUUCUUCAUCUGUCUAGCUUUACCAUGAUCCUCCACCUCCACCCAACAUUCCUGUCCAAUAUCCAGCUGAAUCUCCCUGCUCUCUGUUCGGCUCAAUAUCAGUUGUGCUUGAGACUUGCUUUAGAUCUUCAAACGGAAACAAAAGCCUCCCACCAGUCUCUUGAACCCCCUGGACACUACCAUACCCACUUC
rnacentral:misc_RNA from 1 species